UAAAGUUCUAGUUUUUUAAAACAAACGAGAGAGAGAGAGAGAGAGAGGGCAUAAUUAAUAGAGGUAGUAUAUCCUGAAAUUCCGGUACUUUUGUUUUAAGGGCUUAGAGGGAUUGCCAGCCUCUGGCCUGCUCUUUCAGGCAUUGUUUGGAGGCUGGCCAUUGGAUUGACAGCUACCCGCUAGUAUCUGCCCCUCUCUUUCCCUUCUCCUGCACCGAAGAUCCGAGUUUUUUUAUUGGAUUGAAGGGAAUGAAAAAGGUUUGAGGCCAACUUCAAUUCCUUGCCAUUUUAAAUACUGGGAAUCCGAAAAAUGAGCGCUGUUUCGGGUGUUGUUUCGAGGCAAGUUUUGCCGGUAUGCGGUAGUCUUUGUUUCUUUUGCCCGGCAUUGCGGGCGAGGUCUAGACAGCCUGUCAAAAGGUAUAAGAAGCUCAUCGCCGAUAUCUUUCCUCGUAAUCAGGAGGAAGGACCAAAUGAUCGGAAGAUCGGAAAACUUUGUGAAUAUGCUUCCAAAAAUCCUUUGCGUAUCCCAAAGAUUACAAAUUCUCUUGAGCAAAGGUGUUACAAGGAAUUGAGAAACGAGAAUUUUCAAUCUGUGAAAAUUGCGAUGUGUAUUUACAGGAAAUUACUAAUUUCCUGUAAGGAGCAAAUGCCUUUGUUUGCAAGUAGCUUACUAAGCAUCAUGCUCACUCUGCUUGAUCAAACACGACAAGAUGAAAUGCGAAUUAUAGGAUGCCAUACCCUUUUUGACUUUGUAAAUAAUCAGCACGACGGGACUUAUACGUUUAAUUUAGAAGGCUUUAUUCCAAAAUUGAUUCAAUUAGCUCAAGAAGUGGGGGAGGAUGAAAGGGAACAAUGUCUACGUUCAGCUGGCCUCCAAGCCCUUUCUUCAAUGGUUUGGUUUAUGGGCAAAUACUCUCACAUUUCUGUGGAGUUUGAUAAUGUUGUUUCAGUAGUAUUGGAGAACUUUGAAAGUCGCACUAAAAAGUUAGAGAACAUGGAUCACGAUAAGGAAUGUCAGAAUCAUUGUGUGCAAGAUGUGCUAAAAAAUGAAAGUCAUCUCUCUUCUUCACCUGAUGUCACAACAAGGGGUCCUUCUUGGCAGACAAUUGUGAAUGAGAAGGGUGAAGCGAAUGUGACAGUGGAAGAUGCCAAGAACCCGUGCUUUUGGUCCAGGAUCAGUUUGUAUAACUUGGCAAAGCUAGCCAAGGAGGCUACAACCAUGCGGCGUGUUCUGGAAUCUUUGUUCCGAUACUUUGAUAAUGGGAAUUUGUGGUCUCCUGAAUAUGGUCUUGCCCUCCCAGUCCUUAAGGAAUUGCAGUUUUUAAUGGAUAAAUCUGGGCAAAAUACACAUUUCUUGCUUUCCACAUUAAUUAAACAUCUUGAUCAUAGAAAUGUCCUUAAACAACCUGACAUGCAGCUUGACAUCGUUCGGGUUGCCACGUCCCUUGCUCAAGAUGCAAAGGUUGAGCCUUCUAUGGCAAUAAUUGGUGCAUUAAGUGAUACCAUGAGGUAUUUGCGAAAGAGCAUGCACUCCUUACUCAAUGAUGAGAAUCUGGGAGCUGACAUCGUUAAAUGGAAUAGAAGAUUUGGGGAAGCAGUGGAUGACUGCCUCGUGCAGUUAUCACAUAAGGUUGGAGAAGCAGGCCCAAUUCUUGAGGUUAUGGCCUUGAUGUUGGAGAACAUCUCAACAAUUACAGUGAUAGCCAGAACUACAAUUUCAGCUGUUUAUCGUACAGCUGAAAUUGUAGCCUCUUUGCCCAAGUUAUCAUAUCAAAAUAAGGCUUUCCCUGAGGCUUUGUUUCACCAGUUACUCCCAGCUAUGGUCCAUCCAGACUAUGAAACGCGAAUUGGAGCUCAUCGCACUUUUUCUAUUGUUCUUGUGCCAUCUUCAGUUUUCCCUCGUCCUUCCUCAUCUAUUUCUGAGUCAAAGACAGCCUCCGAUCUUCCACGGACACUGUCAAGAACUGUCUCUGUCUUUUCUUCUUCAGCUGCUCUUUUUGAGAAGCUAAGGAAGGAGAAGUUUUCUUUGACGGAAAUUGUAUGUGAAGAUAGCAAAGAUAAUAGAGUUAGUGAGGAGCAACCAAUAAAUAAUGGGGUGGAAAAUAUGUUGAAGCCAUCAUACAGUCGGGUCUGCAGUAUGAGAAGUCCCUCUGUACCCAUGACAGCUGAUGGAAAUAAUGUGAAGAGUUUAAAUAGAGAGACUGAGUCUAAUUCCCUCAGGCUGAGUAGCCACCAGAUUACUCUCUUGCUUUCAUCAAUUUGGGCUCAGUCCAUCUCUCCUGAAAAUACACCCGAUAACUAUCAAGCAAUCGCUCAUACAUACAGUCUGGUAUUGCUUUUCUCCCGGGCCAAGAAUUCCAGUAAUGAAGUUCUAGUUCAAAGUUUCCAGCUAGCAUUUUUCUUACGAAACUUUUCUCUUCAAGAAGGGUCACUACCACCUUCCCGUCGCAGAUCUCUCUUCACUUUGGCAGCUUCAAUGAUUCUAUUUUUAUCUAAGGCAUACAAUAUUCUUCCUCUUGUUCAUAUUGCCAAGGCUGCACUUUCAGAUAAAAUGGUUGAUCCAUUCCUGCAUGUGGUGGAAGAUUGCAAGUUACAAGCUGUUAAAUCAAGAUCCGACCAUCCUGCUAAUAUUUAUGGAUCCAAAGAGGAUGAUAAUUCAGCUUCAAAAUAUCUUUCAGAAAAAGAGAUCACUGAAGACCAAACUAGGGAGUUCUUUGUUUCUGAGAUUUUGAAAAGCUUGGAUCAUUUGCCAGAAUCUGAAUUGUCCACUAUAAGGGAGCAGCUGCUCGAAGAAUUCUCACCCAAUCAAGUUUGUCCACUAGGAAGCCAGUUGCUCAUUGGCAGUCCACAUAGCAUACAUCAGGUUGAUUCUGAAAGUAAUGAACCUCUUAAGGAGGUUGUUCCAAUGUUUACGACAGAGGAUGAUUCAUGUGAAAGUCAGACCAAACAUAAUUCAGAGUUGGCCAUGGAAAGUCCCAAUCUUUUGAGUGUCAGUCAACUUCUAGAAUCAGUCUUGGAGACAGCACAUCAAGUUGGACGAAUUUCAGUCUCAAAUGCACCUGAUGUGCCUUACAAGGAAAUGGCCCUUCAUUGUGAGACACUACUCAUGGGAAAGCAGCAGAAGAUGUCUAAUGUGAUGAUUACACGACAGAUACAGGAAAGUAGGAUGAACUUCACUUUACAAAAUCAUGAGCCUGAGGUGAAGAAGAUGGCAUCCUAUCCCCAUGUUGAUGCUGGCAAUCCUUUCCUUGACCAAAACUUCACUGCCAAUUCAUGUGAACCAUCACCUGGCCCUGUUCCAAUGCCCUGUGCAGCAGAAUAUCAGCAUCACCCCCAUUUCUUCAAACUACCAGCAUCAAGUCCAUAUGAUCACUUUCUAAAAGCUGCUGGCUGUUGACAUUUUAGUGUGGUUAGAUGUGAAUUGUCAAUACUCAACAGAAGCUAGCCGUUGAUCUUUAAGCUCAAAGGCUGGUGUAGGAGUCUCCUAUUUUUUAUGGAUGAGGUGGUCUUUUUAUCUCGUCUCUAGUUGUACAGAGUUUCAAGCCACGGUUCAUAGGUUCCCACUUCCCAUUCCGAGUUAGAUGAUCCUUUUAGUGUGGAAAGCAGCAUUAAAUACGUUUGUUUCUUUAAACAUCGUUCCCAUGGAGUUUUAUGAAACUUCAUGAGCUGGCUCAAUCAUAGAUAAUAUAUUUUGG